rnacentral:rRNA from 1 species
GUUUGAUCCUGGCUCAGAUUGAACGCUGGCGGCAUGCCUUACACAUGCAAGUCGAACGGUAACAGGUCUUCGGAUGCUGACGAGUGGCGAACGGGUGAGUAAUACAUCGGAACGUGCCCAGACGUGGGGGAUAACGAGGCGAAAGCUUUGCUAAUACCGCAUACGAUCUAAGGAUGAAAGCGGGGGAUCGCAAGACCUCGCGCGUUUGGAGCGGCCGAUGGCAGAUUAGGUAGUUGGUGGGAUAAAAGCUUACCAAGCCGACGAUCUGUAGCUGGUCUGAGAGGACGACCAGCCACACUGGGACUGAGACACGGCCCAGACUCCUACGGGAGGCAGCAGUGGGGAAUUUUGGACAAUGGGCGAAAGCCUGAUCCAGCAAUGCCGCGUGCAGGACGAAGGCCUCGG